AGAUCACAAACUGCAGGUAGUAAAAUAUGCAGCCAAAAAUGGUAAUUGAGCCGCAGAAAGAAAGUUUGGAGUGAGUCAGAAACUUGUGAGGGACUGGUGAAAAGGUUACUCUUACUGCAAUGAAGAAAACAAAGCAAGCUAAUCGCGGGCUGAGAGCAGGAUGGCCAGAGCUGGAGGAACGGGUCCAAAGAUGGAGGGGCUGGUCAACUCUG